AACGAACGCUGGCGGCAGGCCUAACACAUGCAAGUCGAGCGAGGACUUCGGUUCUAGCGGCGGAUGGGUGAGUAACGCGUGGGAAUGUGCCCUUCUCUACGGAAUAGCCCUGGGAAACUGGGAGUAAUACCGUAUACGCCCUUUUGGGGAAAGAUUUAUCGGAGAAGGAUCAGCCCGCGUUGGAUUAGGUAGUUGGUGGGGUAAUGGCCUACCAAGCCGACGAUCCAUAGCUGGUUUGAGAGGAUGAUCAGCCACACUGGGACUGAGACACGGCCCAGACUCCUACGGGAGGCAGCAGUGGGGAAUCUUAGACAAUGGGGGCAACCCUGAUCUAGCCAUGCCGCGUGAGUGAUGAAGGCCUUAGGGUUGUAAAGCUCUUUCAGCUGGGAAGAUAAUGACGGUACCAGCAGAAGAAGCCCCGGCUAACUCCGUG
rnacentral:rRNA from 1 species